UCCAGACUCCUACGGGAGGCAGCAGUGGGGGAUAUUGCACAAUGGGGGGAACCCUGAUGCAGCGACGCCGCGUGGGUGAAGGAGCGUUUCGGCGCGUAAAGCCCUAUCGGCAGGGAAGAAGGAGGACGGUACCUGACUAAGAAGCCCCGGCUAACUACGUGCCAGCAGCCGCGGUAAUACGUAGGGGGCAAGCGUUAUCCGGAUUUACUGGGUGUAAAGGGGGCGCAGACGGCAGCGCAAGCCAGGAGUGAAAGCCCGGGGCCCAACCCCGGGACUGCUCUUGGAACUGCGCGGCUGGAGUGCAGGAGGGGCAGGCGGAAUUCCUGGUGUAGCGGUGAAAUGCGUAGAUAUCAGGAGGAACACCGGUGGCGAAGGCGGCCUGCUGGACUGCGACUGACGUUGAGGCCCGAAAGCGUGGGGAGCAAACAGGAUUAGAUACCCCAGUACC
rnacentral:rRNA from 1 species